UGCGUAGUUAUAUUCGUUAUAGAGGAUUUCCACGUGUAACGGCAGUGUAUUCGUCAGUCCACGGAUGUGUCCCGAGACCACCGAGACAGCCCCAAACUCUCCCAUUGCCCGUGCCGUACAGAGAAUCACGCCGUAGAGCAGACUCCACUUCACGUUGGGGAGCGUGACGUGGAGAAACGUUUGCCAGCCGCUGGCGCCCAGAACAAGAGCGGCUUCCUCCUCUUCGCGUCCUUGAGCUUGCAUCUGCGGGAUAAGUUCGCGCGCGACGAACGGGAAGGUUACGAAUAUCGUAGCCAGUACGAUUCCAGGGACGGCGAAAAUGAUCUGGAUAUCAUGGGCCGCCAACCAGGGGCCGAACCAACCCUGCAGGCCGAACAGCAGCACAUAUAUCAGCCCCGAG
rnacentral:misc_RNA from 1 species